UUACGGCCACACCACGUUGAAACACCAGUUUGUAUAUGAACACUGAAGUAAAGCAACAUCAAGCAUGGUCAGUACCUACAUUGGUAACCGCUUGGGAACAUUUGGUGCUGUAAG